rnacentral:rRNA from 1 species
UACGGGGGGGGCAAGCGUUGUUCGGAAUUACUGGGCGUAAAGGGCUCGUAGGUGGCCAACUAAGUCAGACGUGAAAUCCCUCGGCUUAACCGGGGAACUGCGUCUGAUACUGGAUGGCUUGAGUUCGGGAGAGGGAUGCGGAAUUCCAGGUGUAGCGGUGAAAUGCGUAGAUAUCGAGAGGAACACCUGCGGCGAAGGCGGGUAGCUGGGCCGACACUGACGCUGAGACGCGAAAGCGUGGGGAGCAAACAGG